rnacentral:misc_RNA from 1 species
GAUGAAGAACGUAGCGAAAUGCGAUAAGUAGUGUGAAUUGCAGAAUUCAGUGAAUCAUCGAAUCUUUGAACGCACAUUGCGCCUCCUGGUAUUCCGGGAGGCAUGCCUGUUCGAGCGUCAUUAAAAACCACUCAAGCUCUUUUGCUUGGUAUUGGGAGAGGAGUGCGCCUGGCGUUCUCCCUCCCGAAAUGAAAUGGCGGAAAGCUCCACGUGCCCCGGCGUAGUAAGUCUUCUUUCGCUUGGACCGUGAGGUGAUCCUGCCGCAAACCCCCAAUCAUUCUAGGUUGACCUCGGAUCAGGUAGGGAUACCCGCUGAACUUAAGCAUAUCAAUAAGCGGAGGA